rnacentral:rRNA from 1 species
GCAAGUCGAGCGGACAGAAGGGAGCUUGCUCCCGGAUGUUAGCGGCGGACGGGUGAGUAACACGUGGGUAACCUGCCUGUAAGACUGGGAUAACUCCGGGAAACCGGAGCUAAUACCGGAUAGUUCCUUGAACCGCAUGGUUCAAGGAUGAAAGACGGUUUCGGCUGUCACUUACAGAUGGACCCGCGGCGCAUUAGCUAGUUGGUGAGGUAACGGCUCACCAAGGCGACGAUGCGUAGCCGACCUGAGAGGGUGAUCGGCCACACUGGGACUGAGACACGGCCCAGACUCCUACGGGAGGCAGCAGUAGGGAAUCUUCCGCAAUGGACGAAAGUCUGACGGAGCAACGCCGCGUGAGUGAUGAAGGUUUUCGGAUCGUAAAGCUCUGUUGUUAGGGAAGAACAAGUGCAAGAGUAACUGCUUGCACCUUGACGGUACCUAACCAGAAAGCCACGGCUAACUACGUGCCAGCAGCCGCGGUAAUACGUAGGUGGCAAGCGUUGUCCGGAAUUAUUGGGCGUAAAGGGCUCGCAGGCGGUUUCUUAAGUCUGAUGUGAAAGCCCCCGGCUCAACCGGGGAGGGUCAUUGGAAACUGGGAAACUUGAGUGCAGAAGAGGAGAGUGGAAUUCCACGUGUAGCGGUGAAAUGCGUAGAGAUGUGGAGGAACACCAGUGGCGAAGGCGACUCUCUGGUCUGUAACUGACGCU